AAACAGUAAGAGUCUUGAAUGUGUGUGCUGUACAAAGGAAUGCAGAGAUAUAUGUCCGGUGCAGCUUUCAUCUUUUGGGACUUGGCUUGGCCAUUACUUCUGACUUUCCUCAUUCGUCCUCUCCUUGCCCCCCCCCACCCCGUGUGCACCCACAAAUCUGGUGUGCACCCACAGAUCCUAUGCCACUCUGCACCCUGAGUGUCCUGCAGCUGUGUCCAGUGUGUGACACGCUGCCCUGGCAGUGUGCAGGCCCAUGUUGGACAGGGCCCUGCCGCUUCCUCGGCACCUUGUAUGCUUUUAGUAAGCACUUGCUGGACAAAGGCAGAAAGGGCUGAAGAUAGACGCAGCCCUUAGCAGAGACGUGGAUGAGACACACUUAACGCUGUUAGUUCGUGUGCCUGCAGCCAGCUUAGUCUUGCCCAUUUUCUCACCACCUACUCUAUUCCAGCAAGAAGACGUGCCUCUGCCAUCGAAGGUGUGAAAUCCUGGGCGAUCUCUCCUGUGCUACAAUAGAAAUUAGAGCAUGUCCUGCUGUGUGCAGGCUUUGCUUUAGUUCUUCUGAAGUGUGUGAAUCUGAAGUGCAUGUGCGGUCGCUCUUUGGUGCUCUUUGGUGCAUUUGGGGUUUCUCCGUAGCAUUGUUCCCCCUCCUGACUGUCAUUGUCGCCCAGCAGCUGACCAUGCCAAUGCCUCGGUACGGCUCCGGGCAGCAGCCACUGAUCCUGCCCCAGUCCAUUCAGCUGCCGCCUGGGCAGAGCCUCUCUGUUGGGGCCCCCCGAAGGAUUCCUCCGCCCGGGUCUCAGCCGCCAGUCCUGAACACCAGCAGAGAGCCCUCUCAGAUGGAGAUGAAAGGCUUCCACUUUGCCGACAGUAAACAGAAUGUCCCUUCAGGAGGCCCUGUGCCAUCGCCACAGACCUACAGGCAAAACAACGAGUGGAUGAGAAACCCAGCCUGGGAGCCGUGAAGCUGCAGGAGGCCCCCUCGGCUGCCUCCCAGACGAAGCGAACCGGAGCGAUCAAGCCUCGGGCUGUCAAAGUGGAGGAGAGUAAGGCCUGACGGUGCCUGGCUGCCACCUCGCCUGGCCCCACUGGGGACGGUGCCGCCAUGCGGCCUCGACAUAGCCGACAUUCGGGAGCCUCACCAGAUCCACCGUCCAAAUGCCUGGCCCGGACUGAGAGACCUCCCUCCUCUCCACUCCCAAAAGCUCCGUUGUCAACCAGCUUGCACCCGUGGAUAUAUGGCAUUGACCCGCUUGCUUUGAUAUGAAACAAAAAAGCAAACGACUCCUUCAUCCCAUCUGCUCCCACCGUGACCGUGGAGUGACGCCUCCCGUGCAGUGCAGAUCCGCCCUCCCUGCCUCCUCCCUGUCCUGCCGCGCAGCCAGGGCGCCUUCUCAGCAGUGCUUCUGGCCCAGCCGCCCAUCCCUAGGCACAGUGGUUUGGCAGCAGGGUCAUUUUACUUUGAGGCUUUUUGUUUUAAAAUGUAGCCAAGGUUUUUACAAAGGGGAAAGGAAAAGAAAACAAAAACGCAAGCUCCAUGUGUAUAGCUGAACUUUUAUAUGUUUCUCGCCAGCCCCUCUGCUCCCUUCCAUCUCUAGCCUCUGUCCUGUUUAGUUUGAUACGUCACUGCAAUACCUUAAGAGAUGACUCUUAAGAAUGCAUCUCCCCUCCUGAUUCCUCAGCUGGUUCACCUUUGAGGUUAUUUGCAAAAAGAAAAGGAGGUUCUUGAGGGCACCCAUUGUGAGCAUUCUGGUGCCUGGCUCCCCACUUGGGAAGCAAUGAGGUGCUCAGAGCAGCAGGCAGGUGUGGGGGGGUCACAGUUGGGUUCCAGCUCCUGGCUUGAUGAGCCCAGGGCGCUUACAGGCAGCCCAUGAAGUUGAUGACGGUUUUAGCAUGAGAAUCACACAGGGUCCCUGUCCUGGGCUCCUCUAAAGCCAGUGGGUGUGCUGGGCACCAGAGACAAAUCAUGGAGAUGGCUGCUGGUGGCUCCCAGGUUGGCCCAGAUGGGGUGAGCUGACACACCACAGGCCCAUCCCAGGCCCCGUGGGCUCUGCUUCUGGGGCUCCAUACCCUGCCCUGCAGGGGUGCUGUGUUUUUCACACAUUUCUUUCCCUGAAGCCUUCUGUAACCUGUCAUUUUCCUUCCUUCCUCUUCCGGAGCCUGCUGCUUUCUCUGGACCCGUCUCCACCUCCCACACAGCUCAUCGUGAACACCACUUGGUGAUGGAGGGAGUGGACCCGUGUGUGGUCCCCAAGUGAGGCCACUGGGAGUUUGUCCUUUUCCUCCUUUGCUUCACUCCCAGCAGCAGACCCAGGUUGUCAGGACAGGAGGGCCUGAGCUAAGCAGUAGGCAUCAGUCUCGUUUGUCUUCAGACAGCAGAGGCAGGUCCAGGGUGAGGCUGGGUGGAGGGCUGACCAAGGUCCAAAGGGCCUGCACAGCCUCCGGGAGGGCAGCUUCUCCAGCCAGAGGCUUGUGUGAGCCAUCGUGUGCUGGGCUUGUUGUUUUUAAGUAAGAAACAAGGAAAUCACUCCAGAUUCUGUCAUUCCAAGGAAAGGGAAGGGGACAGUUCAAGUUUCUCAGCUGUUCUUAGGGGUCACUGAGCGUCUCCAGAGGAGGCUGGCUCAGAACACCGUGAGGAGGGGGCCGGGGAUGCACCCCCCACCAGAGGCUGCCUUCAGCGUCUCACGGGUGCAGGACAGCGCUCAGGCUUGGGCUCUAAGCUCUGUGUCUAGUGUAGAACAUGGGGAAGGAGCAUCUUAGGAACUGCUGAAGUAACUUCUCACUGCUCUCACAAUUCUAAGGAAGUGGGAGAACGGCCUCCUAUGAACAGCGCCCAUCCCAGAGCUGCCUGGGAAGGGGCAGUUUUACUGAAAGGUGCUUUACUGUCCACCUGCAUCUUUCAGCAGCUCCCCUCCUGCCCUCACCUGGUCUUUUCCCUCUUCAUCCCAAGCCUUUAUGCUUGAGUCCCUUCCCCAGGGGCUGCCCACCCGACAGUUCCAGGUAUUCCCUACCUGAGCUUCUUGUCUGCUUUUCCUUCUCCCACUGCAAGUGGCUGCUUGUGGGACCUGGGAUGAGCCCUCUCUGUCCCCACCAGCCCUCCUUGCCAAGCCAUUCCUGGGUGAGUCCAGGCCUGCGGGAGCCACACAUUCAUCUCCACCUGGACACUUGAGCCGCAUGGCCAGACCCCUCCCACCUGACGCGGUGGUGCGUGUGAUUUGUUGAAAGAAAGCCUCCUGGAUGCUGUUAAGAUGUACCCUUCAGGUGAACCUGGCAUCAGACCCACAGUACUUGCUGUUUGAGAAAAAAUAAAAACAAAAAGGUCACCUGUUCUCCAGCCCUUUUCUCUUACCUGGUAUUUCCUUCCUUUCUCCUCCCCCACCCCAAAUAAAAAAACAAAAAACACUAGAAUUUAUUUAUAUGUAUUGAUGUUGUAGGUCUAGGUGAAAAAAAAAGUAAAUGUUUCACUGCUCUAUUUAUAUAGAAUGUCUGAAUUAAUUCUGUGCAGGAAAGGCCAGGAAAUUGCAUGUGAAGUUCGGUGCAGUCACCACCUCUGUGUGACCUGAGCUGCAGUCUCUUCGCUGAGAUGCAGGUUUUAAAUGAGACUUUGGGGGCUGAGGGCAGGCCUCAGGCCUCCCAGCGCCCCAACCCCUCCUUGGUCUGAUGAAAUGCAGUUCUUAGUGCAGAGGCGUUUUAAGGUGCAAUAUCUCUCUUCCUUUCCCGUGGUUUUACAGCCAAGCCCAAGGUAGUAGGACAUAAGGUCUUAUUUUGUUUUCAAACCCCCAUCCUCAGAGCGCAGACACAUGCAGAGGCUUCUGCCAGGAUACCACGGGGCCUUAGUGGGAACAGGUGGAGACCAGCACUUCCCUUUCCUGCUGCUGAGGUAGAGAGUAGGGGGUCAGAACCCACUCACUUUUGCCUGUUAAAGUUGCCCUCCCGACGCUGGCAGCUCUGCCUUGGUCAUCGGGGGUGUGGCCCGUUGCUCAGCAACCAGUGGCCUUGCGGUAUUGUCCACCGUCCACUAGAGUGGGAUCAAGUCCAGAGUGUGGGUGUGCAUCUCAAAUGCUCAUCCACCCACUGGGGACUUCAAUGCCAGCUGCAUUUGGUUUGGUUUUCUUAACUGUUGGCUUCUCCCCACAGCUUUUUUUUUUUUUUUUAAACAUUCGUAUUGUUUUCAAACUUGGGAUUCAUAGACACUCUGGCUCUAGGUUCCUUAAGGGGGAAAACAAAAGAUGACUUUAUUUCACAUUCAAGAAAAUCAGUUCAGUUCCAAAGCUGUGGUCCUUCCAGCCACUUCUAGGGACACUGGGGUACCUUGUUAAACGUUGACAUCAGUGCUCUCCAGCCGUGCUGUUGUCCUCCUAUCUUCUGUAUCUGCCUUCGGGAUGGUCAGUGAUGCCUUCUGGAAGCUGAGCACGCACAGGUGCAUGGCCAUGCUGUGGCCUGGCCUGCUGCGGCAGCAUGGCAGCUCUGGUGGAGCCUUCUCCCUUGCCAUUUGGCUCCCCUCUGCCAAGUAGCUGCAGGCUGCCCCUCAAAUCUUCAUUUGUCCCUUUUCACUUCCUGCAGAGCAAGCCUGGGUUAGAGGGUCUGCUGGAAAUGGCCUUUGAAGACCAAGGAUACCAGGGUGUGUGCACUCUGUCGUGUUCUGUGAUGAAUGGGAAACGUAGGCUUCCAGAAAGCCAGCUCUCUUCUGAAACGUGAUGGACCUAAGCAGGAAGUCAUCCAGGACAGGAGUGGCUCAGUGUUGGGGAUGGACACUGUCGCCCAGCCAUGCUCCACCAGGGCCACCAAUGUAUAUUUGGCUGGUGGUCUUUGGGCAUGUGAGACCUGCUCUUCACUGUCUCCACCCCAGUUGGUGGCCUCCAGGAUGGUAGUGGCACCCCCAGAGCCCCAUCUUCAGCGUGUUCUGAAGCCUCAGAGUGGAAAUUCCUGCUAAGGCUCUGUGUGGACACCUUUCUCCCAUGGUCUGAAGGGGACACUGUACUCAAGCUUUUGACCUCAUGCCUUGUGUAGUAAAAAAGGAUUUGGGGGUUUUUGUUUGGUUCCUGAGAGGGUUGUGUUUUGUUUUUGUUUCCUUUUGUUUAUGUUUUGGCCUUUCCUCUUUGUCUUUCCAUGUAGACCAGAUAUUUGAAAGGGCAGACGAUGGCUAGAGGUGUAAUGUGCAGCUUGUUUAUACGUUAUUUCGGGAAACUUACCUUGGAUGGGAAAUGGAAUCGUGGAUUCACCAGGCCGGUGCUGGCACACUCACCCUCGCCCUUUCCCUCCGGUUCAGUACCUAUUGUUUCUCCUUUCAAAUAUGUGAUUGUACUAGCUCUUUCCAUAUGAAAGAAUUCUCCUUAUUUAAAUAAAAAAAGUUGAAAAAGAUAAA
rnacentral:sRNA from 1 species